GCAUCAGUGAGCGGAUGGACAGGACAUUAAAUAUCUGCAUUCUGAUUUCAUCUCUUAAACCCAUCUGAUAAUCCCCUCCCAACAGACUCCCUUGAUUUCUGACCUCAUUUGUAAGGAUUAUGGAAUGGACAUACGGAAGCUGAGAUCACGGCAUGAG